rnacentral:rRNA from 1 species
GGCAACCUGCCCUUUAGACGGGGACAACAUUCCGAAAGGAGUGCUAAUACCGGAUGUGAUCAUCGUGCCGCAUGGCAGGAUGAAGAAAGAUGGCCUCUACAAGUAAGCUAUCGCUAAAGGAUGGGCCUGCGUCUGAUUAGCUAGUUGGUAGUGUAACGGACUACCAAGGCGAUGAUCAGUAGCCGGUCUGAGAGGAUGAACGGCCACAUUGGGACUGAGACACGGCCCAAACUCCUACGGGAGGCAGCAGUGGGGAAUCUUCCGCAAUGGACGAAAGUCUGACGGAGCAACGCCGCGUGAGUGAUGAAGGAUUUCGGUCUGUAAAGCUCUGUUGUUUAUGACGAACGUGCAGUGUGUGAACAAUGCAUUGCAAUGACGGUAGUAAACGAGGAAGCCACGGCUAACUACGUGCCAGCAGCCGCGGUAAUACGUAGGUGGCGAGCGUUGUCCGGAAUUAUUGGGCGUAAAGAGCAUGUAGGCGGCUUAAUAAGUCGAGCGUGAAAAUGCGGGGCUCAACCCCGUAUGGCGCUGGAAACUGUUAGGCUUGAGUGCAGGAGAGGGAAGGGGAAUUCCCAGUGUAGCGGUGAAAUGCGUAGAUAUUGGGAGGAACACCAGUGGCGAAGGCGCCUUUCUGGACUGUGUCUGACGCUGAGAUGCGAAAGCCAGGGUAGCGAACGGGAUUAGAUACCCCGGUAGUCCUGGCCGUAAACGAUGGGUACUAGGUGUAGGA